CCCCCCUCAGGGUCACACCUGGAGAGUUCCCAGUACUCUACCAGUCUUGACUACAGGAGGGAGAGUCACGCAGAGUCAUAGCCAUUCCAUUCCCAGCUUGGGCAAUGGCUAGCGAGUGGAAGGCAAACUGCUACAAGU
rnacentral:snoRNA from 1 species